rnacentral:misc_RNA from 1 species
UCCGGCUUGUCACCGGCAGUUCCUCCAGAGUGCCCGGCCCUACCCGAUGGCAACUGAAGAUGGGGGUUGCGCUCGUUGCGGGACUUAACCCAACAUCUCACGACACGAGCUGACGACAGCCAUGCAGCACCUGUGUUCCCGCCAGCCGAACUGAAGGACCGGAUCUCUCCGGCCCACACGGGACAUGUCAAGGGCUGGUAAGGUUCUUCGCGUUGCGUCGAAUUAAACCACAUGCUCCACCGCUUGUGCGGGCCCCCGUCAAUUCCUUUGAGUUUCACCCUUGCGAGCGUACUCCCCAGGUGGAGUGCUUAACGCGUUAGCUUAGACACUGCCCCUAAAUCAGGGCAGCAUCGAGCACUCAUCGUUUACGGCGUGGACUAC